rnacentral:piRNA from 1 species
UAAAAAAACCAAGUUGAUGAA